rnacentral:lncRNA from 1 species
GGCAUCCUUAGAAACAUCUCAAGACUUGCUGGAUGUUUGAAGGUCUCUCUGGAUUCCUGGCAGGUGGUCUGAUGCUCGAAGGUUUCCCACAGCUGGAUGGGAGGGAAUUCAGCUGAGAUUUUGCUUCCUAGCAAACACCUUGCAGCAAGCUUGGUCCCAAGCCUUCUGACUAGCCUUGUCUCCCCUGGGAGAUUGCCUUGUGUGACCCAAGGAAGUGUCCCCCCUUCUGAUACGUGCCUGUGGUUUGCCUUUGCUUCUGGAACAUGAUUCCAGUAAGAAUCUGCUGACUUUCUGCACCACCUACUCGGGUCCAUCCUAAUGACAUCAGCCAAGGCCUCUACAGCAGCCCCCAAGCUGCCUCUGGAUAGUUUGGACAAGGCCUCUGUGCUGUGAUGGAACCAGGUGACCUGCAGCCUCCGGGCCAGUGGCAGCUUCUGUUGCUCACACCUGGUGGCCCUGGUGCUUAUGCUUGGGGUCACAAUGGGGUUGUGAGGAAGGAGGAGGAUGGAAGAAAAGGGGAACAUUGGACAGUGGAUCGUGAUGCAAAGGAAAGGUACCAAUCCCAGGACUAUGGGGCAGACUCAGGAGGCAGCACAUGGGGAACAUUCUCAGACUUGGGGCAGCAUCACUGGCUCUCAGGGAGGUGUCCUGUGAGGAAGAGGAAUGAGCUUUCAGUGCCUGGACGUUGUGACAGUUCUUUGGGCCAUUCAAAGACCUUGUGGCCUAUUUCUUGGCCCCUAAAACAUCCUGAAGAGGUAAGAUUGCCUGAGAGUUGCAUUCCAUGUUAUCAACUUGUAACCACAUUUGGUUUGGGGGGACUUUCAGUUUCUUUUCUUAGAGGAGCUUCUGCAUUAACUUCAGCAGGUUAA